UCGGACUGUAGGCUGCAACUCGCCUACACGAAGCUGGAAUCGCUAGUAAUCGCGGAUCAGCACGCCGCGGUGAAUACGUUCCCGGGCCUUGUACACACCGCCCGUCACACCAUGAGAGUCUGUAACACCCAAAGCCGGUGGGAUAACCUUUAUAGGAGUCAGCCGUCUAAGGUAGGACAGAUGAUUAGGGUGAAGUCGUAACAAGGUACC
rnacentral:rRNA from 1 species